rnacentral:misc_RNA from 1 species
GAUGAAGAACGCAGCGAAAUGCGAUAAGUAGUGUGAAUUGCAGAAUUCAGUGAAUCAUCGAAUCUUUGAACGCACAUUGCGCCCCUUGGUAUCCCGAGGGGCAUGCCUGUUCGAGCGUCAUUUCACCACUCAAGCCUGGCUUGUGUUGGGCGACGUCCUCUUUGGGGACGCGCCUCGAAACGCUCGGCGGCGUGGCACCGGCUUUAAGCGUAGCAGAAUCUUUCGCUUUGGAAGUCGGGGCCCCGUCUGCCGGAAGACCUGCUCGCAAGGUUGACCUCGGAUCAGGCAGGGAUACCCGCUGAACUUAAGCAUAUCAAUAAGCGGAGGA